GAUGAACGCUAGCGGCAGGCCUAACACAUGCAAGUCGAGGGAGAAGCCCUUCGGGGCAGAAACCGGCGCACGGGUGCGUAACGCGUAUGCAACCUACCUUUCACAGGGGGAUAGCCCGAAGAAAUUUGGAUUAAUACCCCAUAAUAUUAUUGGAUGGCAUCAUUUGAUAAUUAAAAUUGCGAUGGUGAAAGAUGGGCAUGCGUCCUAUUAGCUAGUUGGAGUGGUAACGGCACCCCAAGGCUACGAUAGGUAGGGGUCCUGAGAGGGAGAUCCCCCGCACUGGUACUGAGACAGGGACCAGACUCCUACGGGAGGCAGCAGUGAGGAAUAUUGGUCAAUGGUCGGAAGACUGAACCAGCCAUGCCGCGUGCAGGAAGAA
rnacentral:rRNA from 1 species